GGCUAUUAGGUGCCCCGAGAGCAUGGCGUUAAAUGGACGUUUGGGACUGUAUUCCUCAGUGGCCAUUUACGUAAUUGGUGCUGAUGAGGGGGGUGGCCAGCAGCACCAUGGCGUUCCCAGUGGACGCCCCCUGAACGAGGCGAGUGGAACAGUCACGGCGUGGGUUAUCGCCCAUCACUACUAGUGAAGCUCUCAUCCGUUUGUUGCUGUUAUAUCUACUGAAGUGCUACAGGUGUCUGGAGUAGGCAGGUGCUGGGGUGCAUGUCAGCGUCCACACGUUCCUUACUGUAAGGCGUGGGACUCUGGUGCUGGAGAAGGAAGGAGUUGGCAGA